AUGCGUGUCGCGGCUCCGUCGCCGCCGCCUCCUCGCCUUCCUCUCGCGCCACGGCUUCAGCUCCACCUUCCAAGCGUUGCUCCAGGAGACGGCCGUGUUCUUCAGCGUGGAGCACCUGGAGCGCCUCGCGAGGCAGGGCCAGUGGGACGACGCCAUCAAGUACGUCGUCCGCUUCGUGCCAAAGGUCGACGCGAUGCUCGGCGAGGAGGGGAGGCUCCUCUUCAGCUUCAUCAACCUGCACAGAACCAUCCACUCCAUCUCCAUCGGUACGCCGCACGGCGCCCUUAUGACUGA
rnacentral:rRNA from 1 species